rnacentral:rRNA from 1 species
UGGGGAAUAUUGGACAAUGGGGGCAACCCUGAUCCAGCAAUUCUGCGUGUGUGAAGAAGGCCUGCGGGUUGUAAAGCACUUUCAGUAGCCAAGAUGGGAUUAAGUGUUAAUACCACUUAGUCUUGACAUUAACUACAGAAGAAGCACCGGCUAACUCCGUGCCAGCAGCCGCGGUAAUACGGAGGGUGCAAGCGUUAAUCGGAAUUAUUGGGCGUAAAGAGUACGUAGGCGGCUUUUCAAGUCGGAUGUGAAAUCCCUGAGCUUAACUUAGGAACUGCAUUCGAUACUGAAUCGCUAGAGUUUAUUAGAGGAUAGUGGAAUUUCAAGUGUAGCGGUGAAAUGCGUAGAUAUUUGAAGGAACACCAAUGGCGAAGGCAGCUAUCUGGAAUAAUACUGACGCUGAGGUACGAAAGCGUGGGGAGCAAACAGG